rnacentral:rRNA from 1 species
UGGGGAAUAUUGGACAAUGGGCGCAAGCCUGAUCCAGCCAUGCCGCGUGAGUGAUGAAGGCCCUAGGGUUGUAAAGCUCUUUCACCGGUGAAGAUAAUGACGGUAACCGGAGAAGAAGCCCCGGCUAACUUGGUGCCAGCAGCCGCGGUAAUACGAAGGGGGCUAGCGUUGUUCGGAUUUACUGGGCGUAAAGCGCACGUAGGCGGACUUUUAAGUCAGGGGUGAAAUCCCGGGGCUCAACCCCGGAACUGCCUUUGAUACUGGAAGUCUUGAGUAUGGUAGAGGUGAGUGGAAUUCCGAGUGUAGAGGUGAAAUUCGUAGAUAUUCGGAGGAACACCAGUGGCGAAGGCGGCUCACUGGACCAUUACUGACGCUGAGGUGCGAAAGCGUGGGGAGCAAACAGG